UACGUAGGGUGCAAGCGUUAAUCGGAAUUACUGGGCGUAAAGCGUGCGCAGGCGGUUUUGUAAGUCAGAUGUGAAAUCCCCGGGCUUAACCUGGGAACUGCGUUUGAAACUACAAGGCUAGAGUGUGGCAGAGGGGGGGUGGAAUUCCACGUGUAGCAGUGAAAUGCGUAGAGAUGUGGAGGAACACCGAUGGCGAAGGCAGCCCCCUGGGACAACACUGACGCUGAGGCACGAAAGCGUGGGGAGCAAACAGG
rnacentral:rRNA from 1 species